UUCCCUCCCCCCUUUCUUCUUCUUCUUCUUCUUCCUUUCUUUUUCCCCUCACUGUCGACUCCCAUUUCUGUGCCUGCCACAUCUCCCUGUCAUUGUCGCUUCUCCGCCUUUCUCCUCCCUCGCCGGUGACGCCAUCUUUCCCUCCUUCCUUGCUGCCGUCAACAUUUAGGAGGAAGGGAAGCCUCAUCCUUUGCUGCCGACGCUAGUUCAGUCACCUGCCGUCCACCAAUUGCCUGUCUGACGCUAGAAUCAACCUCCUUACCGUCGAACACCC
rnacentral:lncRNA from 1 species